AUCUAGCUGACGAGUCCCAAACAGAACAAAAUGCGCGUUCUGGAU
rnacentral:hammerhead_ribozyme from 1 species